CCUACGGGUGGCAGCAGUGAGGAAUAUUGGUCAAUGGACGAGAGUCUGAACCAGCCAAGUAGCGUGAAGGAUGACUGCCCUAUGGGUUGUAAACUUCUUUUAUAAAGGAAUAAAACGAGGCACGUGUGCCUUUUUGCAUGUACUUUAUGAAUAAGGAUCGGCUAACUCCGUGCCAGCAGCCGCGGUAAUACGGAGGAUCCGAGCGUUAUCCGGAUUUAUUGGGUUUAAAGGGAGCGUAGAUGGUUUGUUAAGUCAGUUGUGAAAGUUUGCGGCUCAACCGUAAAAUUGCAAUUGAUACUGGCAGUCUAGAGUACAGUUGAGGUAGGCGGAAUGCGUGGUGUAGCGGUGAAAUGCUUAGAGAUCACGAAGAACCCCGAUUGCGAAGGCAGCUUACUAAGCUGUGACUGACAUUGAUGCUCGAAAGUGUGGGUAUCAAACAGGAUUAGAUACCCGAGUAGUC
rnacentral:rRNA from 1 species